rnacentral:rRNA from 1 species
GGUUAAGCGACUAAGCGUACACGGUGGAUGCCUAGGCAGUCAGAGGCGAUGAAGGGCGUGCUAAUCUGCGAUAAGCGUCGGUAAGCUGAUAUGAAGCGUUAUACCCGACGAUACCCGAAUGGGGAAACCCAGUGUGUUUCGACACACUAUCAUUACGUGAAUACAUAGCGUAAUGAGGCGAACCGGGGAACUGAAACAUCUCAGUACCCCGAGGAAAAGAAAUCAACCGAGAUUCCCCUAGUAGCGGCGAGCGAACGGGGAGGAGCCCAGAACCUGAAUCAGUUUGUGUGUUAGUGGAAGCGUCUGGAAAGUCGCACAGUAAAGGGUGAUAGUCCCGUACACAAAAUGCACAGAUUGUGAGUUCGAUGAGUAGGGCGGGACACGUGACAUCCUGUCUGAAUAUGGGGACCAUCCUCCAAGGCUAAAUACUCCUGACUGACCGAUAGUGAACCAGUACCGUGAGGGAAAGGCGAAAAGAACCCCGGCGAGGGAGUGAAAUAGAACCUGAAACCGUGUACGUACAAGCAGUGGGAGCCUUGAUUAAUCAGGGUGACUGCGUACCUUUUUUAUAAUGGGUCAGCGACUUAUAUUCUGUAGCAAGGUUAACCGUAUAGGGGAGCCGCAGGGAAACCGAGUCUUAACUGGGCGUUAAGUUGCAGGGUAUAGACCCGAAACCCGGUGAUCUAGCCAUGGGCAGGUUGAAGGUUGGGUAACACUAACUGGAGGACCGAACCGACUAAUGUUGAAAAAUUAGCGGAUGACUUGUGGCUGGGGUGAAAGGCCAAUCAAACCGGGAGAUAGCUGGUUCUCCCCGAAAGCUAUUUAGGUAGCGCCUCGUGAAUUCAUCUUCGGGGUAGAGCACUGUUUCGGCUAGGGGUCAUCCCGACUUACCAACCCGAUGCAAACUACGAAUACCGAAGAAUGUUAUCACGGGAGACACACGGCGGGUGCUAACGUUCGUCGUGAAGAGGGAAACAACCCAGACCGCCAGCUAAGGUCCCAAAGUCAUGGUUAAGUGGGAAACGAUGUGGGAAGGCACAGACAGCCAGGAUGUUGGCUUAGAAGCAGCCAUCAUUUAAAGAAAGCGUAAUAGCUCACUGGUCGAGUCGGCCUGCGCGGAAGAUGUAACGGGGCUAAACCAUGCACCGAAGCUGCGGCAGCGACACUUAGGUGUUGUUGGGUAGGGGAGCGUUCUGUAAGCCGUCGAAGGUGGCCUGUGAGGGUUGCUGGAGGUAUCAGAAGUGCGAAUGCUGACAUAAGUAACGAUAAUGCGGGUGAAAAACCCGCACGCCGGAAGACCAAGGGUUCCUGUCCAACGUUAAUCGGGGCAGGGUGAGUCGACCCCUAAGGCGAGGCUGAAAAGCGUAGUCGAUGGGAAACAGGUUAAUAUUCCUGUACUCGGUGUUACUGCGAAGGGGGACGGAGAAAGCUAGGUUAUCCGGGCGACGGUUGUCCCGGUUUAAGCGUGAAGGUGGAUGACUUUGGUAAAUCCGGGUCGUCAUUAACACUGAGGCGUGAUGACGAGUCACUACGGUGAUGAAGUAACCAAUGCUACGCUUCCAGGAAAAGCCUCUAAGCUCCAGGUAACAUCAAAUCGUACCCCAAACCGACACAGGUGGUCAGGUAGAGAAUACUCAGGCGCUUGAGAGAACUCGGGUGAAGGAACUAGGCAAAAUGGUGCCGUAACUUCGGGAGAAGGCACGCUGAUGGUAGGUGAAGUGACUUGCUCACGGAGCUGAAAUCAGUCGAAGAUACCAGCUGGCUGCAACUGUUUAAUAAAAACACAGCACUGUGCAAACACGAAAGUGGACGUAUACGGUGUGACGCCUGCCCGGUGCCGGAAGGUUAAUUGAUGGGGUCAGCCGCAAGGCGAAGCUCUUGAUCGAAGCCCCGGUAAACGGCGGCCGUAACUAUAACGGUCCUAAGGUAGCGAAAUUCCUUGUCGGGUAAGUUCCGACCUGCACGAAUGGCGUAAUGAUGGCCAGGCUGUCUCCACCCGAGACUCAGUGAAAUUGAACUCGCUGUGAAGAUGCAGUGUACCCGCGGCAAGACGGAAAGACCCCGUGAACCUUUACUAUAGCUUGACACUGAACCUUGAGCCUUGAUGUGUAGGAUAGGUGGGAGGCUUUGAAGCGUGGACGCCAGUCUGCGUGGAGCCAACCUUGAAAUACCACCCUUUAAUGUUUGAUGUUCUAACGUGGGCCCGUGAUCCGGGUUGCGGACAGUGUCUGGUGGGUAGUUUGACUGGGGCGGUCUCCUCCCAAAGCGUAACGGAGGAGCACGAAGGUUAGCUAAUCCUGGUCGGACAUCAGGAGGUUAGUGCAAAGGCAUAAGCUAGCUUGACUGCGAGAGUGACAGCUCGAGCAGGUGCAAGCAGGUCUUAGUGAUCCGGUGGUUCUGAAUGGAAGGGCCAUCGCUCAACGGAUAAAAGGUACUCCGGGGAUAACAGGCUGAUACCGCCCAAGAGUUCAUAUCGACGGCGGUGUUUGGCACCUCGAUGUCGGCUCAUCACAUCCUGGGGCUGAAGUAGGUCCCAAGGGUAUGGCUGUUCGCCAUUUAAAGUGGUACGCGAGCUGGGUUUAGAACGUCGUGAGACAGUUCGGUCCCUAUCUGCCGUGGGCGUUGGAAGAUUGAGAGGGGUUGCUCCUAGUACGAGAGGACCGGAGUGAACGCACCACUGGUGUUCGGGUUGUGAUGCCAAUUGCAUUGCCCGGUAGCUAAGUGCGGAAGAGAUAACCGCUGAAAGCAUCUAAGCGGGAAACUUGCCUCGAGAUGAGUCUUCCCUGGCACCAGAUGCCCCUGAAGGGCCGUUGAAGACUACGACGUAGAUAGGCUGGGUGUGUAAGCGUAGCGAUACGUUGAGCUAACCAGUACUAAUGACCCGAGAGGCUUAACCUU